rnacentral:rRNA from 1 species
UACGGGGGGAGCAAGCGUUGUUCGGAUUUACUGGGCGUAAAGGGCGCGUAGGCGGCCUCCGCAAGUCGACUGUGAAAUCUCCGGGCUUAACCCGGAAAGGUCAGCCGAAACUGCGGGGCUAGGAGUGCAGAAGGGGCAACUGGAAUUCUCGGUGUAGCGGUGAAAUGCGUAGAUAUCAGGAGGAACACCGGUGGCGAAGGCGGGUCUCUGGGCCGAUACUGACGCUGAGGAGCGAAAGCGUGGGGAGCGAACAGG